ACACCCAUCCCUAAGAGAGAUUCUCCGCGGUUCCCAGCCUGAGUCCCAGACACAGGCCUUCACAUAUGGCGUGUGGAGAAGCUGAAGCCAGUGCCCAUAGCCAGAAUGAACCAUGGCAUCUUUUUCUCUGGGUACUCCUACCUAGUGUGUCACAAGGCCCAGAAGAGGCCUCCCAUCUGCACCUGUGGAUAGGCCAGCAGUCAUCCUGAAAGGAGCAGGGGGCCUGUGCUGUGCUGGCUGAGAACCUCAACACCCUGCUGGGGGAGCAGCCUGUGCAGCGCCCUGUGCAGCGCCCUGUGCAGCGCCCUGAGGGUCAAGGGAAUAAAUCUGACCUCUUCAUGAAUUACUUCCCAUGAGGCCUCAAGUACUGGGAAGGUGGCAUGGAGUUGGCAUUUCACCAGACAACCUCGAGCGCCACCCCAGCAGCCAUCAGGAAGCUCUACCAGGUUAAGGGUAAGAACAUCCGUGCGACCGAGAGGGCUCUGAGCUGGGACAGCUUCAACACUGGGGACUGCUUCAUCCUGGACCUGGGUCUGAACAUCUUUGCCUGGUGUGGUAGAAAGUCGGAUAUCCUGGAGCGCAACAAGGCGAGGGACCUGGCACUGGCCAUCAGGGACAGCGAUUGUCAGGGCAAGGCCCAGGUGGAAAUCAUUACUGAUGGAGAGGAGCCAGCUGAGAUGAUUCUAGGCCCCAAGCCUGCUCCAAAGGACAGUAACCCUGAGGAAGACAUUACAGCUGAUCAGACCAAGGCUCAGGCGGCAGCCGUGUAUAAGGUCUCUGAUGCCACUGAACAGAUGGAUAUGACCUAGGUGGCUGACCCUCAUUCCCAUACCCGACUGGGGUGGUCCGUGGCAAGGGUGGGUGUCCCCAUCUUUGCUCUCCUGCUUCCCACCACUUGCCUGAUUGUUUCCCCUCUGGCUGCUGAGUCAGCACUGAGGUGCCCUCUGGAUGCUCAAUAAAGGACACAUUUCACCACCACCCCAAACAAAAUAAACCUCAGUAGGUUGUAUUUAUAUAUUUAGAAAAACAAAUAUACCUUAU